UACGAAGGGGGCUAGCGUUGCUCGGAAUUACUGGGCGUAAAGGGCGCGUAGGCGGAUCGUUAAGUCAGAGGUGAAAUCCCGGAGCUCAACUUCGGAACUGCCUUUGAUACUGGCGAUCUUGAGUGUGAGAGAGGUAUGUGGAACUCCGAGUGUAGAGGUGAAAUUCGUAGAUAUUCGGAAGAACACCAGUGGCGAAGGCGACAUACUGGCUCAUUACUGACGCUGAGGCGCGAAAGCGUGGGGAGCAAACAGGAUUAGAAACCCGUGUAGUC
rnacentral:rRNA from 1 species